AAAUGAGUCACUCCCCCCUCGCCACCCCCAUUUACUCAUCUGAGGCAGGAGCUGACCUAGGAGCUGGGGAACCACUCACAGGCCUUGGGCGAAGGUCAGUGCCUGCAUAGACCUGGCCAGCACCGCGUGCUUGAACUUGGCAUCUCAGCCUCUCACCACGGGGACCGUGCGGCCAGGGAAAGUGCUGGCUUGCUUCCAGAAAAGUCCUGAAUUCAGACUGUGUCAGGUGUCUGCAAGCUUCCACUUCACCUUAAAGAAACUCAAACUGAAAAAGAGCACGGUCCGCGCUUGGAAGAAGACGUGGGACUCCAGGUGGUGACUUCGUCAAAUCAGUGGACCGCUGAUCCUCAAACAGCGGGGGUUUGAACUGGAGGGUCUUUCCACUCCUACGUGGGCUUCUUCCGCCUCUGUCACUUGGGAGAUGGCAAGGCCAACGCCCACCCCUCCUCUUCCUCAGCCUACACAACAUGAAGACGACGAAGACGGAGACCUUUACGAUGAUCCCCUUCCACUUAAUAAAUAGUAAAUAUCUUUCCA